GCACCCGCGGUAAUUCCAGCUCCAAUAGCGUAUAUUAAAGUUGUUGCAGUUAAAAAGCUCGUAGUUGGAUUUCUGGGAGAGUGGCGAUGUCCGCUUAACGUGUGUGCAGCGGCGCUCUUCCAUCCUUCUGUUAGCGUCUCUUGGCAUUCAUUUGCUGGUGGCGGGCUCAGAUAUUUUACCUUGAGAAAAUUAGAGUGUUUCAGGCAGGCUAGGCCGGAAUACAUUAGCAUGGAAUAAUGGAAUAGGACUACGGUCUCUUUGUUGGUUUGAGGGACUGCAGUAAUGAUUAAUAGGGAUAGUUGGGGGCAUUAGUAUUUAAUUGUCAGAGGUGGAAUUCUCAGAUUUGUUAAAGACUAACCUAUGCGAAAGCAUUUGCCAAGGAUGUUUUCAUUAAUCAAGAACGAAAGU
rnacentral:rRNA from 1 species